GAUGAAGAACGCAGUGAAAUGCGAUACGUAGUGUGAAUUGCAGAAUUCCGUGAACCAUCGAAUCUUUGAACGCAAAUUGCGCUCGAGGCCUCGGCUAAGAGCAUGUCUGGCUCAGCGUCGGCUUACUACCCUCAAUCAAUUACCUUGUGAUGAUUGGUUGGAGCUGGCUUUCCGGUGUUCCAAUCAGGUUGCCGGUCAGCUGAAAAACAUUCACGCUGUGGAAGUCGCUUUCCCUUCAAAAAGGAAAGCCGAGUUCCGAUUUGGUAGGUGACCUUUGCCGGUUGCAUGCCUUCGUUGCUCGUUUUGGCUUUCAUGAUAGCGUGUGCAGGACGCCAUUUUGGCUUUCGACCUGAGCUCAGGCAAGAACACCCGCUGAACUUAAGCAUAUCAAUAAGCGGAGGA
rnacentral:misc_RNA from 1 species